rnacentral:rRNA from 1 species
ACGAAAGUAGGUCUUAGUGAUCCGGUGGUUCUGUAUGGAAGGGCCAUCGCUCAACGGAUAAAAGGUACUCUGGGGAUAACAGGCUGAUACCGCCCAAGAGUUCAUAUCGACGGCGGUGUUUGGCACCUCGAUGUCGGCUCAUCUCAUCCUGGGGCUGAAGCAGGUCCCAAGGGUAUGGCUGUUCGCCAUUUAAAGAGGUACGCGAGCUGGGUUUAGAACGUCGUGAGACAGUUCGGUCCCUAUCUACCGUGGGCGCUGGAAAUUUGAGAGGAUCUGCUCCUAGUACGAGAGGACCAGAGUGGACGAACCUCUGGUGUACCGGUUGUGACGCCAGUCGCAUCGCCGGGUAGCUAUGUUCGGAAGGGAUAACCGCUGAAAGCAUCUAAGCGGGAAGCCUACCUCAAGAUAAGAUUUCCCUAGGACUUUAUGUCCUCUAAAGAGCCGUUCGAGACUAGGACGUUGAUAGGUUGGAUGUGGAAGCAUAGUGAUAUGUGAAGCUGACCAAUACUAAUUGCUCGUGAGGCUUGACUAUACAACACCCAAGCAGUUG